rnacentral:rRNA from 1 species
UUUCCCUACGGGGCGCAGCAGUCGGGAAUAUUGCACAAUGGAGGAAACUCUGAUGCAGUGACACCGCGUAUAGGAAGAAGGUUUUCGGAUUGUAAACUAUUUUAGACAGGGAAGAAAAAAGACAGUACCUGUAGAAUAAGCUCCGGCUAAAUACGUGCCAGCAGCCGCGGUAAUACGUAUGGUGCAAGCGUUAUCCGGAUUUACUGGGUGUAAAGGGAGCGCAGGCGGUGCGGCAAGUCUGAUGUGAAAGCCCGGGGCUCAACCCCGGGACUGCAUUGGAAACUACCGAACUAGAGUGUCGGAGG